GCUGGGGAUUUUGUCUCCACCAACCCAGUAGGCCACAGGUCCGUCCUCACCUUGCAGGUAGAAGUUCCUGAACAAAGCAUAAAAGGACCUCUGUUCACCAAGCAGAAAGGACACAGAAUGUCCCCGAGAGGCUCAUGUGUGUGGAUGUUUACCCCACAGUUGGAGUUCUAGAAUCCAAGACCUGGUGCAUGCUAGUCAAGCGCUCUACCACGGAGACCACCUGCAGCCCAGCACAGUCUCAUGAACAGGGAAGAGCUGCUUAGUUGACUCUCGGGAUCAUCAAAAUUAAAAUGCAAUCAGAGAUCAGCACUCAGAAGAGCUAAUCAUGUCUUCAAGAGGACGGGGAAAGGGAAAGAGGCUAAGGAGGCCGGGGAGGAGACCCAUCAUCGAUCGGCAGGAGAUGAAGUGAAGGGGAUACAGCAUGUGUCAGGUGACCAGGAAACAAAAAUGACUGAAAAGCACUCAGUCUGCAUGGAUGGUUUGGAUGCAUGGUGGGUCCAAUGGCAGGAUGGAUGGACGGACAGAUAUAAGCAAGAAAGAGAGGCUGCUCGAAAGUAAAGGAGAACCUGGAUGUCACAGGAAAUCCAGCAAGGCAGGAGAUCCAGAUCUGACCCACAGAAUGGGUUAGGGAGUCCCAGGGAUAAGAAGCCAGAGACUCCCCUGUUGAGCUUCCAGCUCUGUGGGUCAGGCAGGCUAUGCUGGGAACUUCCACAGAAACAUUCUCGUGUAGGAAGAGAAAGGAGACUGGAAUGACAGGUUCUCUGGCUGCUGAGAAGGGCAAAGAGGCCCUGUGUAUGCCAAAAGAUAAAUGGCACACACUGAGUGGUAAGGGGCCAAAAGAUCCAGGACAGGUGACAGGAGAGGGUGAAGUAG